rnacentral:rRNA from 1 species
UACGUAGGGGGCAAGCGUUGUCCGGAUUUAUUGGGCGUAAAGAGCGUGUAGGCGGCCAGACAGGUCCGUUGUGAAAACUCGAGGCUCAACCUCGAGACGCCGAUGGAAACCGUCUGGCUAGAGUCCGGAAGAGGAGAGUGGAAUUCCUGGUGUAGCGGUGAAAUGCGCAGAUAUCAGGAAGAACACCCGUGGCUAAGGCGGCUCUCUAGUACGGUACUGACGCUGAGGCGCGAAAGCGUGGGUAGCAAACAGG